rnacentral:misc_RNA from 1 species
ACACUCAGCUGCCCUUCGGAGCCCAACUGCCUCUCUGCGCGUUCGAUGCGCACACGCAUAUAAGAACAUCGGUGCCGUCGCACAGGCGAACUUCCAAGAAGUGUAAGGAAGCGAAGCCUCCCGCACACGUUGCUACAGGGGCUGGCUCUCCACCGGGCUGGUACCGAAACUGCUCUCAGCGCCCUGUAUUAGCAGACGGUCAUCCCUACCCCCCCCCUCUAUUCCUGCGCUGAAGUCUAGCAUUCGUGCGCGCGCGCGGACGUACACGCAUCCAUCGUUCUCUGUGGUGUGGCCGCUGCUGGUUUCGUUCCCUGCUUCGAUCACGCAAACUUGACGUACCGAUGAGGGUGACGGUCAAGUGGUUUCUGACGGGCAGGUACUCCGUUAUCGAAGACAGUGAUGCGAUUUUGUCGCCGGACACCACCAUUGCGGAGCUGAAGGGGCUCAUUCAUAUUCGAUUCGGCUUUUCAUCGAAUGAGCUUUUGCUGGUGCUGGAUCACCUGCUAGAGAACACGGUUACCCUGCGCAGCCUCAGCAUCAUGGGUCAGCCGUGCGACCCCAUCAUGACGGCGCAUGUCGUGAGAGAGUCGGUGCUCGAGAUGAGCAACCUCAAGCACCAGGACGAUACAAGUAAGGACGACGACCUGCACGAGUUCUCGCACGCCGAUUUUAUUCUGGCCAUGAAGAUGCUUGGCAAGGAUGUGCCGGUUCCAGACGAUCGUCUUGUCGCCAUGCGUCUGAACGCCCCUCGCCAACGUCCAGUCUUCCUCGACGCUCGGCGGGAGGACGAAGACGACGCUGCUGGUCCCGAACGAGUCCCUCAGCCUCCACCCGGCAUGCCAGGCCUGGCGGGGUGCGAGGUUCCGACUUACAACCCGAAGAAGACGGAGGUGUACCAGAUCGUAUCCCGCGUCCAGUAUGGCCCGCGUAAGGAGGGCGUGGACACCGAAUUCGCGAUCCAGUACCCCGGUGUCAACGAGCCCUUUCCGUUUUGGGACAUGCGCACACCAGAUCCGUUUGCCCGCAUCGAUGGGCAGUGCGCCCCUGGCGAGGUCUGCCUCGAGCUUUUCUACUUUGGCGAUUUCGACGCUGUCAAGGACCAGCCCGGCUUCUUGUUGGUGGUGCAGCAAAGCCUGCAGUCUAAGGCUGGCGUACGCCUGCGGACACCGCUGCCGCUGCGUGAGGCAGGGUGCAUGUACCCCCUCAUUGCAGUCCCCAUUGUGCUGCACGAGAUGGACGCCAUGGAACUCGGUGACAUCUUCUUUGAGGACUUUGGAAGGGUCGAGUCUGCACGACCCCUCAAGGGCAACAACGACGGUGCAGAAGUCGCUGGCAGCGGCGGCCUUGGCUGCGCUCCACAGUAGCCGAUGCGAAUGAGUAGAAGAGAGGCGGUGGCGCGCAGUAAAGACCCUGUCAGUGACGCGCCUGCGGAAGAGCACGGCCUCCUCCACGGCUAUCCGGGGUGGGGUGGGGUGUGAUCUGCCGGUUGCUUUGGAGGAUGACCGCAGAGCGAGUAAACAAAAACGAAGAUGCGCCUCCAUCCACGCAGGAGAGAAGAUCGACUGUGUUUCUUCGCGCACGCGCUCUCGCCCUUGCCACCUCGUUGCCCGCCGGCCCUCCCCGCUGCUGCCUCACUUCUUCGCCGACAUCUGCGAAACAUAUACGUAUCCUCGUUGGCGUACUGUUUGCUCCAUGUCUUCGUGCUGUGGCUCUCUGUCAAUGCUGUCAUAGCAGUCACCGAGUUCCCACGCAUACCCAACUCAACCGGUUCCACGAACCGACUCAGCAUACCAGGUUUCUCAUGCAUACGCAUACGCAACAAGUCUGUGUGAAGGCACUUGCCUGCGAGCCGUUUUCCAGCCGGCUCUUCGACUUCCUCGUCUCGGCGCGUGUGUGCAGGCGCGGUGUGCAGGAGCGCGACUCGCUUCAUUUGCCGCUUCUUCCAUUCCGUCUUGUGUGCCGUGGCCAUCUUACGAGUUUUGUGUCUUUUGUGGUGCAUGCCACGUGCGACGGAUAUCGCAGCGCCUCAUGUCGGUGCGCUGGGUCAGGUUGGGUUUCCACCGUCACAUCGAAAGUACUCACAAGAGCGAGAGCCGGGGGGCUGGGGGGGUGGAGGAGAUGUGGCGUUUAUGGACCGCAAUAGGCUUGCACACACGUGCGAGCAUACGCGCGUGCCUGUGCACCGACUCGGCGGCCAAAUCUGGCUGAUAACUUCCUCGUGGCAAAUGAUUUCCUUGUUAUGGUCGAACCUCACAUUCUAUGCCGCGAUCCUCUGUUUUGGAUUCUCCUCCCCCCCCUCACCUCUUGGUUCUUUCAGCCAGAUGCCUUUGGAUGAAUGCUGUGGCUGCACGGCAUGGCGUCCAACAGUGUCAUCGUCUACAUUUUCGUCGAGAAGUGCUCUUCCUUAUUCUUUUGUUGUUCUUGAACUCUGGUGCUGCGUUGAUCCCUGUGUAGGGCGGCGCGUUGACGAUGUCUUUCUUGCCUGUGGUUGGUCCCUUUGUUCUGUGGUGUCUGUUUCGCUCUUACCGCUCUUCACCCUCACAUGCGGGCGCACGCGACGGCGGCACUGGCGUGCAGCGAGGGCGUGCUCUACUACUAAUAGGAAGCACCUGCGCUGCGGCGUGCAGAGUCUGGAGAGAGACAACCGAGGAGAGAGAGCGAGCAAGGUGAGUGGCAGAGGCAUGGGUAUCUUGCCUUUAUUCGGUGCGUGCGGAGGUGCGUUCUUGUCUCUGUGGACCAGCUUCCAUCUGCGAAGACGCAGUUAUCGUGGUGCUGACGUUGAGUUCGUGUUGCCGCGCCCCACCCCCUUAUUUGCUUUUCACUGUAUUCUCCUUGGCGCUGGCGCUUGACCCCCCCCGGUGCCUUCCGACGCGAGGCACGCUCAAAAGGACAAGAGAUGUCGAAGAAAAUGGCAGCGGAGAGGGGCGGCGUGCGCGCCAGGUGAACGCUGCAUGGGUGCUUGAGUUGGCGCACACUCACAGACGACGGCACCUCGUCGCUCUUGCCUCUUUCGAUUGCUUUGCUGCCCUUUGUGACCUGCGUCGUCGUCGCACACGUGCACCAUAGCAGCAGCGGAAACAGCUCUCUCCCUUCGCCCCCCCCACAGCUGGUCGAUGUGCACAUUCGUAUGAUGAUGUUCACGGACAGCAAGCUACACGUGACAGCGGCAGCGAUGACGCGCCUCUUUCGUUGCGCAUCUUUGUCCGCUGCUGGCACCCUCUCCCUACCCCGUUUCGGUUUCUCUGCCUCCUAUAGUGUUGCUACCCAUCUGUAUGCGUACCUGCGCCUGCGCUGUCUUUCUCUUGCGCCACCUGUUGCCCUCCUGUCGUCUCUCCUCUGUGUGCUGGUGACAUCCAGGUGAGAGAGGCCCCCUCCCCCCUCCCACUUCCCUCCCCCUGCUCGCUGCAG